ensembl:lncRNA
GUAAUUAUUAACAAAAUAUUUUGAACAGUACCAGGCCUGGGACAGCUCCCCAGGGACUCCUGGGCUGUGGAUCUCCUUGGAUCCAUGGCACAGCGUAAAUAACUCCUCCAGGCACUGUUCCCUCCUACAGCCCUGCUUGCCUCCAGUUCCGCGUCACCAUCCCCUGCAACCUCUCCCAUUCACCACGUCUGGAUUUUAAAAUGCUCACCAAUGACAAAUCUGGAUAUGAUUUUUGGACUACCUCCCACAGCCAUCACUUUUGAUGAGGAAGGAAAGUUCACUGCUUUUCCAGGUAUUUGAGUAUUCUCUAUAUCUGAGUAUUUACUGAACAAAAGGGUUUCUUGCUGCUAAUCUCGUUUUUUUCCAUUACUAAUAUAUGGCCCUAAUGGGAUGGAAAAUUUCCCCAUGGAUUCCAAGGACCUAAAAGCCAGAGAGGAGCGAAAUCAGUUUAAAGUUAAUGUACUUCACACAUACCUACUUUGCCACUCCACCAAGUGUCAGCAUUCCCUUGGCAGUCUUAAAAACCACUCUCUACUCAAAAACGUAGAAUCAGAAUUAGAAUCUUAGAAUCGUGGAAUGCUUUGGGUUGGAAGGGCCCUUAAAGCCCAUCCAGUUCCGACUCCCUCCUAGGGGGCUCCUUCUAAGGAAAAAGUAAGAAUCUGGUUCGUUCUAAGAAAAUAAAUAAAUGUUUGAGCAUGCUUGGGGACUGACCCAGGAAAAGCAGUCCAUGUCCACCAUUAUUUGGUCUCUGUUGAGCUCCCAGAGGCAGCCAGCACAGAGGGCAGAUGGAGGUCUGAACUGUGGGACUUGGUGCUGACAUGCAGCAUCCUACAGCCUUUGGUUCCUGCGUUGAAGCUUCAACCUGGGCGAAGCUUUCCCUGUUCCCUGGAGAUGCUCUUGACUGUAAAUGCAGCUCUGGGUAUUUCCUGUAGUUCUUAAUCUUGAUAAUUAUUUCAAUCAAGCUAUCAAUUUAUAACUUCCUGACUAAUGAAAUGCUGCCUCUUACCACGUUCUCCUGUGGUACGUAAAGAUGCUUUUGAACGGCAAGCCCCAUGCUGGGAAGACCCAUGCAACUUUCACACCUGGCUUAUCACCUAGCGGAUGUGAUGCCAUGCUGUGAGUGUGACUUCUCCUUGCCAGAUUUCUGGGUGACACCUGAAGGUGACAUCCAGAGGUGCAGAAAUUCAGUCUUUACAUGCGUGAUUGGAUAAGGAUUGAAGCUUGUUGCUAGGUCCUGAUGAAGUCUAGCUGAGAUAAGGAGCAAUCCAAGUGCAUCUCGCUGGGUAUGCACAGACAGUUAGACAUCAUAUAGAAGGUCUUUUUCAGCCCAUGUGGUUCUGUGGCCUGGGAGAGCCUGGCCCAGUUAACUGCUCCUUGCAGAUGUGCCUUUCCUGCAUCUUUUUAUUCAUUUGAAAUUGAUCUGCUAUUCAUUUUAGUAACUGGCCUGUAUCUACUAUAUUCAUGGCCUUAGUGAUUCGGGGCACCUUGUUCACCAGCUCCCCUCAGCCUUCCCUUCUCCAGGCUGAAUGAUCCUGGCCUUCAACCUCCAACCUAGCUGAUUCCACAAUAGUAUGAGUUUCGUUGUUCUCUCUGCUUCUCCAAAACCAUCAUGCUUCUCUUGGGGAUCACAAUUACACACUGCAUUGGACAUGCUUGAGAAUAGCACCAAGAGAAGACAUCUUGGUUUUUUUUUUUUGGCUGCCACCUUGAACACAAUUUGCUGAGGUCUUGGUGGAGUUGCUUACCAUUGGUGUGGCAUUUGGUGACACUGGGAAAGCUGAGCACCUGGAUGUGCUCCUCAUCCACCAGGGUGCUGCUGGUGCUGACCCAGCGCCAGGCUCUGGUGAGUCGCGCUCUCUUCCAUCCCCAAAAGAGACCAUUAAGCCCUACCUACCUUUUGCUCCCUGCCUUGUAACCAGCUUUCCAGCAAUAAAAUGACCUUUUCUCCAGUCCUGUGGCAGCUCAGUAUGCUUAAUGGUCUACUCAAGGGCUUUUAAAACACCCAAGUAUUUAAGAAAUUCUGUGGUUUUUCUACCAAAAACACAGAGCCCACAUACGUUUUUCAUGAGAAAAGGUGAAGGUUCAGUGAAUUUACAUUUGCCCGGCAGCCUCAAUGCAACAGGAGUUAAAUUCCUCAUUCAGGAAAGAAGUAGCCAAAAAUGGCCAAAGGAAGGCCCAGUGGGAGAAUCCAAAUGUUUCUUUCCCCUCAGUGUUAAAACUGCCAAGCCAAUUUGUUAGUAGAGAUAGCUCUUCCAAUGCAAAGUGGUGAGAACAGCUUGGCUUGGCUUGGCUUGGCUUGCGUGAUGCAUCCAAUACAGAGACCUUGAUCUUCAAACCUGCAGUUAAUCCGUGCUCAAAAUGAGCUUUUUUCCCCCAAUAUGGUGCUAUCUCCAGACCUUCAGACUGAGCAUGAAGAAAAAAGGCAAUGAGAAACCCUCAGCUUUCAGCAGGGCACUUGUAGAGUCAUUAAGAUUGGAAAAGACCGCUAAGAUCAUCUAGUCCAACCAUCAACCCAUCCCCUCUGUGCACACAAAACCACAUAGAACUUGCACAAAGCAGUCAAUGAUUCCGUCAUUUCUUUUUCAGGGUAAAACAAGCCAAAUAUUCUUCAGGAAAUCUAGAAGUGUGUGUGGGGAGGGGGUUCUGCCCCUUCCUCCUCCAAGCCAUUUUUGCCUUAAUAUUUAGCUCCUCUCAUCGUUCAAGGACUUUAAUUAAACUUCCUUACAUUGGCAUCACUGCAUGUAAAAAGCAAACCUAAUUAUUAUGGAAUUCAUAGGAAACAGAAUCUGGGAUCCACUAAAAGCUCCUCUGAGAGGUGAACCUUGGAUUCAACAGCUCCUUGCUGGGGGGUGAAUUACGGGGCACGGGAGGAAUAUGGGAAAUAGGAACAUAGGAGGACGGACAACAGCUUCUGAAAGGCUGGGGCAGCUCCAAGGCAGCGCGCUGGAGCAGUCUGUGUUUCCCUUCCCACCCUACCAAGAGCAAAAGCAGUUUUUGGUGGGAUUUUGUCUUCUAGGGAGGAAAGGACACAGGAGGCUCAGGGUGAGGUGGGACGCCCUCAGCUAGAGCAAUGGCAGUGCUUAGGGCCGCGUGCCGACCAUCCUCUAUGCCACCACAACCUGCCCGUGUCCCUGGACGGCCUCAAUGAACCUCAUCCAACACCCAAAACCCUUUUAUUAAAAAAAAAAAAUCUUCCUUCCCUCAAUUAGAGGCAAAGGGAAAAAAAGAAGAAGAAUUGGGGUCAACGCGAAGCAGCCGUAUUUCAGCCGUCCUUUGGGAGCCGAUCUGCGCUCACACUGUGGGUGUUCUCAUUGCACACACUGAACAGGAGCCGUUUUCCCUUAGUAGGACAGGCUCUGUGCUGCAGCCCUUCUCGCCCGGCCAUAAAAGGGCAGCGAUUUCGGUGCGACCCCCGGGCCCUCCCGGCCUGGUCGGCCGCAUCCCGGCGCUGCUGCUUCCAACCUCCUCGCCUUUGGCUCGCUCUUCUCUCACGCCUUUUGUUUUGUCUCUCUCCUCCUCUCUGGAGGCUGCAGGGAUUGAGGCCAGAGAGCCUCCAGGAAUGUUCUUGCCUUCCCUAUUUUUUUUUUUUCCCCUCUCUCUCUCUCUCUCUUGGCCUGAUGUGAUCCCUGCCUUUCCAUGCUCCCUGUGCCUGCCCAGAAAAUCAGUUGCUGGGUGAAAACCAGUUGCUGGGCCAGCAGUACAUCCCCAAAGGGUCGGCUGUCCCCCUUCAUCCUGUGGGUGAGGCCCUGCCCACCUGCAGGGCUCUUCCACCCCCUGCUCCGCUCUGUGCUGCGGCCUGAUUGGGUGCUGCCAUGUCAGAAGGACAUGGAGCUGUUAUGGAGCAUCCAAAGGAGGGCUGCGGAGAUGGGGAAGGGUCUGCAGGGCAAGGGGUGUGAGGAGAGCUGAGGAUCCUGGGCUUGUUGGGCCCAGAGCAGAGGAGGCUGAAGGGAGGGCCCUUGGCAGCUGCAGCUCCUCAUGGCCAUACAGCUCCUCAUGGCCCUGCAACCCCUCAUGGGCCUACAGCCCCACACAGCCCUGCAGCCCCUCACGGCCCUGCAGCCCCUCACGGCCCUACAGCCCCUCACGGCCCUACAGCCCCUCACGGCCCUACAGCCCCUCACGGCCCUACAGCUCCACUCAGGGGAACAGAGGGACAGGUGCUUCCCUAGAGGAGCAAAACUAUGGGAAGACAAUGCGAAACAUCAGAGAUCAGUUAAACCAGGGCAGCGUGAACCUCUCCUGGUUCCCCAGGAUCGUUGCCAGCCCCCAUAUUGUUGCCCAUCUGCAGGAGAUGGCCCUUUUGUGGUACCCAUAUUUCUAUAUCACCAGGGUCUUCCUGCUUUUGUUCCUCACCUACCCUUAUCCCUAGGGCUUCCCUGUCACUGGAGAACCCAUCCAUUGAAAUCAUGGAAUCAUUAAGACUGGAAAAGACCUCUGAGAUCCCCAAGUCCACCCCAACCCACCCCACCAUGCCCACUGACCACGUCUCUCAGUGCCACAUCUCUAUUAGGGUUCUGGAACGCCUCCAGGGAUGGUGACCCCACCACCUCCUUGGGCACUGCCAUUCAUUCUGAGAAGAAAUGUUUCCUAAUACCCAACUGGAACCUCCUCAUGUGCAGCCUGAGGCCAUUACCCCUCAUCCUAUCACUGUAACAUGGGUGAAGAGGACAACCCCCACCUCUCUACCACCUCCUUUCAGGUUGUAGUCUCCUCCAGGCUGAACCAUCCCAGUUCCUUCAGCCACUCCCUACAAACUUGUGCUUCAGACCCUUCACAGCUCCAUUGCCCUUCUCUGGACAUGUUCCAGGGCCUCAAUAAAAUUCCCCAAUGGCAACAGUGGGAAAUGAACUGAACUUAGGGCUGCUGUGCUGGGGUCCUUCUGCAGGGAGCCGGAACCCAUUACCAUUUUGAUAGUCUAUGCAAGAUGUGACAGGGCCAAGUCCCAGCCAGCACAACCUAAGAAGCCUGCAGACCUUCCAGAUCCUUGCAGGAAGGCACCAAGAGCAUGGAGUUAUCCUCUUUCAGAAACCCCAACAGAUGAUGAGGAGGGAAAAACACUCCCAGAAGAGAGCUCUGUUGUCCACGUGCUGGUGUGGGGAUCCCACACCAUGUCAACCCCCACAGAAGUAAGUGUCCCAUGUCUUACUCUGCUGGAACCACAGAACCACAGAAUCAGUUGAGUUGGAAGGGACACUUAAAUCUGGUCCAACUCCCUGCAGUGAACACAGACACCUACAGCUCCAUCAGCUGCUCAGAGCCUGACCAUGAGUGGACCAAGGAUGGGUCUUCCACUGCAUCGACCACAUCCACCACAGGAGCAGGAGAAGAGGUGGCUUAAGCAGGUUGGAAGGAUGGACAUGGACACGUCCUUCCCCAUCAAGCUCUCCCUUGACUCUCUGCAUUACAACAGCCACAGACCUGACCACAUCACCUCUCCCACUCAGCAAAGUCACUGCACGGGGUUGGGUGGGAUCCCACCAAACUGGGUUGGGUGAGGUUUGCUGGGAGAUACAGGAAGUCGGUUCAGCAAAUUCCACGUGAGCCCAUGAGUGGUGUUGGCCAACAAAACCACAUGUGCUUCAUCUUUUAGGAAUGUUGCUGUAGUCACCGUUGUCAAAUGAAGUUUUUCACCAAAAUGUGUUGUUGGCUGUGUCUGGAGCUCCUCCUGGGACAUUCCUCCUCGUGUUGAUGGCAGCGGCCUUUGAGGGAACAGCUUCUCC